GGGCCGGGCCGGGCGGGCGGGGCCGCGGCGGAAGGCUGCUGAUAAAAUACCUGGUAGGGGCAACUUCUUGUACGGAGUCACGAUACAGCGGCGGUACACGGGUUACUACAGAUCUCACGGAGCACAGCAGACACGCACACCGUCACAAUGUUCGGAGGGAGGGCGCCCGGCGUUGCACUUACCGCUGUAAACUUCUUCGUGGGCUGCGCUUUGCUCGGUGCCUCACGCUGCAGGUUCGUCAGAGCCCAGUCCGCUACAAGGGGCCUGCGGCAGGGCCAGGGCUGCUUGCAUGUCAUAUCGGGACCACCAGCUCCUCAAUAACAAGUGCGUAAAUCUGCUAAGAGCAUUCAAUACAGGUGAUGAACUGAUGGAAAAGAAAAAGAAAACUCCAGGCAAAGAACGGCAAGCAUUUAAACGUAGAUGAAACCGUGCAGAGAAGUAGCAAGCCAUGCUCUACGACAGGACAGACAGUCACGGGCUCUAUGGCUACCCUUUGGCAAAGUGGCCCUCCGUGGGUCGAACAUGCCACUAACUUAAACUUCAUAUGCACAGGUGGUUGAUAGUUAUCCAGUUGCUCAGCAGCACGUUUGCAAUUAAACCCU